CUCGUGGUGGAAAUUCAAGAACCUUCCAUUUCCAGCCCUGCGGGCCCAGCUCUACCCCAAGGACCCCUGCACAUCAGGGUUCUCUGUAAGAUGCCUCUUGAAGCCAUACAAAGCUGUGAAUCUGAGUGUCUGUUCAGCAGGAAGAAAGGUGGACUCUUACACCAGGUCCCUGUCACUCAGGCCCCAAGCAAAAGAUGGUUGCCAGCCUGGCAGCUCCUUUGAGGUCUCCUCUACCACCGCUCUCAGGAUGUAUCUGCUGAAUCCAUGCUGAAUGGAUGAGCCAGACGUCUCUGGAAGUCAAUGCUGACAUCCAGACGCUCUCAGGACCCCCUCAGAAAUAAGGUGUUUCAUGGACACGUGACCCGACAUGUCUUUGAUGUUCAUCAGGCUUCCCAGAGUCCUGCUCAUGUCCAGGGCGGAGCUGGUGUCCGAGUUGGAAAGGCUGUCCUGGAAGGAGAGAGAGAGACACGGCCGCUCCACCCUCCAUCAUGGGAGUCUCCAGCCGGAAGCUGCGCUCAGGGAUGACAGAAGCGUAACUCAGGAGGUGACUCUCAUUUCGGUUCCUGACCACUCAGUCUGGACUCCUGGCCACUGCUUUCUAACGAGGACCGUGCUCCGACCCUCAGAGAAGGCUGUGCAAUGUGUUAUACAUGGCUCGUCUGCUCUGAUGGCCUCUGUCUUCCCUCUAGAACAAGGGCUCGCAGUGGGCGUGACUCUGUCCCUUCCCCUGGGACAGUCAGCAAUGUCUGGACACCCUUUUUGCUGUCACGUCUGAGGAGGGGGAGUGCUACUGGCAUCUAGCGGGAAGAGGGCAGCGAUGUCACUACACAUCCUGCCAGAUGCCGGCCAGCCCCUCACAGACUGGGCAGGAAUGAUCUGCCCCAAAUAUCAGUGGUGCUGAGGUCGAGGGUCCCCAUCUGGACAACAAGCACUACAGGGACCAUGUCACUGUCUGCUCACUAAACUUCUCCUUGUGCCUAGGGUGGCACCUGACACCGAGUGGCCUGGUAUGGAUGGGCACAAUGUUGAAUGAAUGGAUGAAGGUUACAUAGAAAAUGUCCCCUCUCCUUUUAUUAGAGCAAUUGUUUCAUGCAGCAGGAGCGAGGCCUUCGGAAAGCAUGGGCAAGGGCUGUCCUGGUGGAGUGUGCGGCUGGUGGCCCAGGCUCCCUGCAGGCUCUUUCCUGGGAUGACACGCUCGCGGAGACCCCCGUAACUUCAGGCUGCUGAAAGCCCCUCCCCCAAAGCAAUGGGGAAGGCAUCAUGCCACAUGGGGAGUCUGGAGAGCCACCAAUGGCCACUCCCAAAGUCCUCAGAACCAGAUGGGCCUGCAGUGCUUGCUACGAACAUGGUGGACAUUUCACCCACAGCAUCUGCUGCACCGCCCUGUCACCCUCUGAGAUGAACAAUGGAAACCCCCCACUAUAAAGUAGAAAGGCCAAAUGUGACAGUGACAGGAGGGACAUAUUUACCUACGUCAAGUGGACAUAGUUACUAGGGUGAGAAAAAAGAGGGUCUGGGCAGAGCUAUGGAACCUUUGUCCAUUCAUUCAACAGUUUGAGCAGAUUGGCUGCAGAGAGAACCCAAAAGGCACCGUGGUGUCCCCAGCCCUCUGGAGUCCUUGACCUCCAGGCUCCUCCUCCUUCCUUCUCUGCAGACUAGGGGGCGGGGGCACCUGCCCGGGGUACAGUCCUGGCUCCUCGGUCUUUACCUCUGUGACCUUGCAUGAGCUACUUGACCUUCAGAAGCCUUAAUUUUUCAUAUCUCCAAAAUGGGAACAAUAACAACAGUGGUGCCCAGGCUGCCGGGAGGGGUGGACGGAGUAACGCCCGUGGACGGAGCCCUGGGCAUCGUCAGCUGUGCGUCCUCCGUGCUUUUCAUUUUAAUCACUGCCCGCCUUGGAGGACUGAGGUUCUCAAGGAGAGUGGGGAGGUUUCUGCUGUGUGGUGUCAGGAGUGGGCCUGGCGGUCACCUCCCAGGGCAAGGUCACUCUGGGAAGCAGGGUCAGGCUAUGAGGUCUAGUUGACCUCCACACCCAAACUCGGAGAAGGAGGGUUUGAUUUUAUCAAGAAAACCAAUUCAUUUCCAAAGACAUUCAUCCUGGACUCUAGGAAAUGUCACAAAAAUCUUUGGACGGAAUGUCGGCCCAGGCAGGAUGGCCUCAUUAUUUCUUCCAGAAGCCUGUGUGGGGUUCAGACCCAACUGUGCAGCAAGCGGCCACUCAGAAGGUCUUGUGGUUGAUGGUGACCUUGCUGCCCGUUGUCAUGUGCCCAUGGUGCCCAAACACCUACGUAGGGUUCAAGGGCACCUUCAAACCACCUCUGAAAAUCCUGGCAACCAAGCCUGUACCCCUUUCAGAAGGGCAGUUUUCCUUGAACACUACUGUUUAACUAACAUUGAACAGUGACGACAGCUGUCAUUUGUUAAAUGCGCACUGUGAGCCGGGCACUGGACAGGAUGAACUCCUUGGAUUUUCAUCAUCAUUCGACAGCUGGGAAAUACAAUCUCAGAGAGGUUAAGAGCCUUGCCCAAGGCCACCCAGCUUUCAGGCUGGGAUUUGGACAUGGUUCCCUCUGACCCCUGAACUUGGGUCUCAUCACUGUUCCCUGCUGCUACCUCUUACACGCCAUGUUUUUUAGUUGACAGGAAAGGAAACCUGAGGCAAACUCGGGUCAUAAUGUUAUGAAGUGGCCCACUGAGCGCUUCUGCCCCGGAGGACCUGGUGGGUCGAGGGCCCGUGUCUGCCCUCACGCCCACCCUCUUCGCGUGCCACUUCACCGCGGAGACAACUUUUCUUUGGUUACCGCGUGGAUCUCUAUUCUUGAGGGAGUUGGCAGGUCGGAUUUUGUGUCCACUAUUAUUUUCUGGACGUUUUUCUCCAUUCUGAGCGUCUUUAAUUCUAGGAACGAUUCAUUCAGGUGGUCCUUACAAUCUAUAAGAGAAAGAAUGCAGACUCAGGACGGGGCUCCUCCAGCGAAUCCCCACUGCUGCAGUCUGUGGGACACUUACCACGGGGCUGCGAGUCCUCAUGACCUCCCUGGCAGAUGGGGACACUGAGGCCUAGAGAGAUUACAUGGCCGGACCCAGCCGCGGCGGCAGCCACACAGUGUCAGGGCUGAGGCCUCGAGGGCGAGCUUCCAGACACAGGGACGAGGACGGGCUUGACGUGGGGCUUCAGGCCUGAGCCAGCGCCCCUGGUGCCCCGCGGGACAGUAAGCUCCCAGUCUGGAGACGGCCCCUUCCCCUGUGAAUGGGGUCUGCUAAGAGAUUCCCCGACGCUGACCCUCAGGUAGUGAAGUCCAUGACAAAGUCUCCUCCCGGCCACAGCGAAAUAAGGAGAAGGAGGACAAGGGUACUGAGUGAGACUGAGAAGCGGACAGACAGACUGUCUCUGGGACAGACGGGUGACAGACAUACUCCCUCCCCCACCCUCCUAGGCUCAUCCUGCCUCAUGCUGGAGACCCAAAAUCCCAGACAUUGCCACCAGCCCCGCAGUCCAGCAAACACAGGCAGAGUCCAGGGAACCUGGUGUGGGCUGGGCCCUGUGUGCAUUUCCCUGUCUCUGGCUCAGGGCCUGGCAUACAGGAGGUGCUCAACAGUUGUUGACUGAAUGAAUGGCUGGGUACUUGGGCUGCCUGGUCGUGUCUCCCGCCCACCUUUGCCCUGAGCAACAGGAGCCACAUCUGUCGCAGAGCUCUGGACAGCAACUGGAGCCAGCGCAGUGGGGGCAUCUGGAGCCCUAUUGUCUGAGCUGCCGUGGCCCGGGCUCUCGAUGCCUGUCAGGGGAAAGCAUCUCUGCUGACACAUCUGGCCCCAUUUCCAAGGGAGAGUCCACAGCCUGCUCUCUGGUUUUAUAAAGCCACGGGGAAAGGAUGAGUGGACUCCAGGAAGCCAGGGCUUCAAGGAACCAUGGCACCUGACCACCAUGGAAACAUCCCCGCACCAGCCUCAGGGUCAGAGUGAGGGCCAGCUUCAGGGACCACCGGAUGCAGGCUGUUGUCACUCAAAGACUCACUCCCCACUGGAUGUGCAGCUGAGACUUGUGGGCUGGCAAAGAUUCCUGGGUGGUUGUGCACAGAGGUGUUAUCAAGAGACAGCCAGGGGGCGUUAAUUGUGUGGCUCUUUGGGAAGACAGUUUGGUUCUAUGAAGCACAAUUGAGGAAGUCCUUUGGAUCCAGCAGUUGCACAUCUAGGAAUGUGCUCUACACACGCACGAGUACACUAACUACAGCAUCAUGUGAAAGAAGCAACCUAAAUAUCCAUCAGCUGGGAAUUGGUUGGAAAAAGGGGCAAAAUGGAAUUCUAUGAGGCCACUUAAAAGAAUGAGGCAGAACCUUAUAUACUUUCUUGAAAAUAUACCCAUUAAACAG